AUCAAAGUGCCGCAGUGUACUAAAGCUCUGAGAGUUGAAUAGCACGUCACCAAUUCACUUGGUAUUCCAACAGAGACGGUUAACCAGCGAAAGCCUACGAUCAAAAUCUUGAUACAUUCAUCUAUUUUGCUCACAUUUUGUAUCGUCCUUUGGCAGAAGGUUUGGUUGAUAUAGAAGAUCUCCCGGUUUAUUGACCCCACAUUCCACAACUGUCCAGUUUCAUCACAACAGGUCUGUAAUUUGUGUAACGAUUAGUUGCGUUUAAUUGUGGUAAGUAUAUAUAGAUAGAUCAGAAGGAGACUUAAGGUGUGAUUGUGAUUAGAGGACAAUAGUUGCAGAGUACUGCUCCAGUUUUUUUUUUUCCAGAGUUGGCUGGCCAUUCAGAGAAGGACUACAGAGUGUUCCAGUUCUGCCCUCUACAGUUCGGUAGAGGCGCGGUUACAGGGCAGUUGAGGAGCUACUGGAGAAGGACUACAGUUGGUGCAGAAAGUGUUCCAGUUUUGCCCUCUACAGUUCGGUAGAGGCGUGGUUACAGGACAGUUCAGGAGUUAUUGGAGAAGGACUACAGUCGGUGCAGAAGGAGUGUUCCAGUUCUGCCCUCUACAGUUCGGUAAAGGCGUGGUUACAGUGAUAACAUCAUGCCACGCCGGGGGAAGAGAUCUGAGGCUGCAAAGCAACGCUGGGCUAAGUUGGACCUUUCAGACCCUCGGUUUCAGGGUCCAGAACCACAAAGGAGCAUUCAAGUCAUGGAGGUAUGUGACAGGCAAUGUAAACAGGAGGUGUGUAGUCCACCUGUGGUGUCAUCCCCAUGCACAGCUCAGUAUCAUGCACAGCCGGAGGUUCAAGAGGUCAACAGCAGUGUGCAGGUCAUAGACAUUUCUGAACAUGAUACUGUACAAGAAGCAGGCGCCCCACCACCCUCUGUGAUAUCUGUGCAGGCGUCCCAUAGUCAGGAUUAUAGUGACUAUGAGCCUGAGUCAAGGAAUCGUCAGUGUACAUGCAUGGCUCUGACAUUUCUAGCACACCAGAAUGAGGGUCAUGACUUGAAGGAGGCUGAUCUUGACAAGAUACUGGACAAGGGAGACAGUCUGUAUAAGAAAACUAUAAAACAGCUAAAAAGUGAAAAUAGGUUCCGCAACUACUACUUGACCUUGGAGGAAACGCCACUCACUGUCACAACCGAGCACCAUGAGUACAGGGUGCAGAGAUCUUCAGUGGAAAUGGGAUUCAUGAGAGACAAGGGAGAUCCUGGCACAGAGGAUUGGUUUCAAAAUCUUCGCACAAGACUUCAGUGUCUGUCUGCAGGUGUUACACAUGCACUGCUUACAGUAUCACCAUAUACCAUUGCCGUGUUCAGAGACCAGUCUGGGAGAUAUGGACUGUUUGACUCUCAUAACAGAAAUGCUGAUGGGCUACCUGAGCAUGGAGGAAAAGCUGUAAUGAUGACCUUCACGCAUUUGGAUGAUCUGAUUGAAAAGAUUGACCAUUUGAAUGCCUUGCUACAUUGUGGGUCUAUUGACAAAAAACAGUUUGACUUCAUGCCGGUGACAUUUGCACAUGCAAAGGCUCUGUCACACCGUUUGCCUUCCCUCCAAGUGCAAUCUGACAACCCGCAUGACAGAAGGCCUGCGGAGGUGAAGGUGACACCAACUGCCAAACAUGAAACAGAUACUGGACUCCCAACCAGCCAACAUUCUCUGCAGUCAGUCAAUGCACUGUCCACACACGUGAUGUCAAAGGCUACACAGGUUACAACAUCUAAAAAACUCAGUAAACGGCAAAGAAAAAAACAAAUGAAGAGACAAAGAAAAGACACACAGCUGUGUGUAAAGAUAUCUGCCACUCAUAAAAAACAAACAUCUCAGAGAGAGAGAUAUAGAAGAGAUGUAGAUUUCAGGGUGAAGAAGAAGGAAAACAUGAAGGAAUCCAUGGCAAGGAGAUACAAAACAGAUACACAUUUCUGGAUAAAGAAGAAGGAAAACAUGAAUGAAUCCAUUACGAGGAGAUACAAAACAGAUUCACAUUUCAGGAUAAAGAAGAAGGAAUCCAUGGUGAGGAGAUACAAAACAGAUCCACAUUUCCGGAUGAAGCAGAAGGAAUCCAUGACGAGGAGAUACAAAACAGAUCCACAUUUCCGGAUGAAGCAGAAGGAAUCCAUGACGAGGAGAUACAAAACAGAUCCACAUUUCCGGAUGAAGCAGAAGGAAUCCAUGACGAGGAGAUACAAAACAGAUCCACAUUUCAGAAUGAAGCAGAAGGAAUCCAUGGCCAGGAGAUACAAAACGGAUUCACAUUUCAGGAUGGCCCAUAAGCUGCGCUGUUCAUUGAAAAUAAGAAUAAAAUACAGAGAGGUGAAUAAAGUCAUGCUUCAAAUGCUUCAAAAGCGCAUUGAUGAAAAAAAUAGGUUACUUCAGAGAGCUAUAGCCACUUUCCAGGAACACAUUAAAGCUGGGCCAACCUUUGUAUGCACAAUGUGUCAUCGCACCCUUUUCCCCAAUCAAGUGCGAUUUUGCCAUCGAGCUAAUUACAAGAAGAAUCCACGUGAGGUUGCUGCCUGUUUGACAGGGAAAUAUGUUCAUGAGUGUGACCGUCAAUGUGGAGGCCCUGACCAAUGCACUGUGCCUGAUGAAAGGAGAAAGGAGUGGAUUUGUUACACCUGUGAUUCCCAUUUAAAGGCAGGAAACAGAUCAUGCAUAGCUGUGGCGAACAACUUGGAGCUGGCACCUAUUCCCCCAGAACUCUGCAAUUUGAAUGUGCUGGAAAGACAACUCUUAGCGAAAAUACUGCCAUUUGCCAAGAUUGUCACACUUCCUAAAGGUCGACAGACAGCUGUACAUGGUGCUGUCGUCUGUGUGCCAUCUGAGGUGGAAACCACAGUGAACACCUUACCCAGGCUGCCCAGCUCAUCCCAUUUGUAUAGAGUGAAGCUAAAAAGACAUGUGAAUUACAAAGGCCAUCAGCACUUUCACACUGUAAAUAUGAGAAAUGUAGUAGCGGGCCUGUCCAAACUCAUUGAUACACACCCUGAGUACAGAGACAUUUCAAUCAGACAUAAUGCAGCAAUGUAUAAUGAAACUAUUGAAGACCUGCUACAAGACCCACCCAUUGAUGGCAACGUACAGCAAAAUCAACCAGACACAAAUGAUGUCAUGGAAUUUGACAGUUGUGAUGAGACCGAAAUGAUGGAGAUACAAGACUGUAUUGAAAAUGUCAAUCCAUCGCAGGUGCAGCAUGCAAGCUCAACAUCUGCUAACGAGCAACAUGAAAGUCAGGAUAAACAACCACCUAGUGCAGAGGAUGAGCAAGCUGCACUGAGACCUGGAGUGGGCCUAGAUAGUUGCUUGCAACCAGCUGACAUUGGACACGAGACAUUGACAUAUGGUGAUGGCAUAUUCAGCAUUGCCCCUGCACAAGGAAACAAGCCUGUCAGCUUCUUCAGGGUCCCUAAACUUGAAGCAAUGGCCUUCCCUGUUCAGUUCCCUACUGGAGAGAAUACAUUGGAUGCGGCAAGAAAAGUCAAACUAUCCCCAAGCAUGUAUUUCAACGCAAGACUUUUCUGUGUUGACAAUCGUUUUGCAAGAGACCAAAGCUACCUGUUCUUUGCACAGUUUGUCACAGAGACACACAUGGCCAAAAACAGCAUGUCCAUUCAGUUAAGGAAAGGUAAACCCAUUACCCGGGAUGGACGCAAAAUAAACAAUAAGAUGUUACAGGACAAGCGUGAGGUUGAGAGACUGGUGAGAAACAGAGAUGCAACAAGAUUCAUGCAACCACUGAGAGGGACUCCAGCUUACUGGGAGAAAACUCUUAAGGAUUUGUUUGCCAUGGUCAGACAAUUGGGGACGCCUACCUUUUUUCUGACCUUCUCUGCCGCAGAAUUCGAUGGCCGGAAUUUAUAACUGCAAUCAAAUCGCAGCAAGGUCAACGGGUGAAUUUUGAUGAGCUGGACUGGGCUGAAAAAUGUGACAUUCUCAGAAGCAACCCAGUGACCACCAUGCGUAUGUUUGACAAGCGAGUUGAAGCUCUGAUGAGAGAACUGCUGCUGUCUCCUGCUCAUCCAAUUGGUCAGGUUAUCGAUUUCUUUUACCGGGUAGAAUUUCAGGCCAGAGGGAGCCCUCAUAUACAUAUGCUGUGUUGGGUAGAAGGAGCUCCGGUCUUUGGAGAAGACCCCGACCACAGAAUAUGCAAGUUUGUGGACCGCUACAUCUCAUGCCAGUUGCCUGACGUAGACAAACAACCGUUACUUCACAGCAAAGUCACAGAGGUUCAAAUGCACAGCAGAACUCAUUCCAAGUCCUGCAAGAAAGGUAAAAGGGCAUGCAGAUUUGGAUUUCCAAAACCACCUAUGCGAGAAACACGAAUAACUUACCCGAAGCCAGAAAGUGACAAAGACGAGGGUGAAGGUACAAGUAAAACAAAAAACAAAGCAAUGAAAAGAGCAAAGCAAAAUGGCAAAGGACAUACAAUGACAACACAAGCAGCCAUGAAUAAACUCAAACCACUGUGGGAUCUGCUGAACGACUCCAAAGCACAAGUGGACAACUUGUCUCAGCUACUGGCACAGUGUAAUUUGACUUACGACGAGUACAGCUCGUGUGUUGAGGAAAUGACGAAUGCAAGCGUCAUUGUAAUGAAGCGUGAAGUUAAGGACUGCUGGGUGAAUAACUACAAUCCACAUUUGCUGACAGCCUGGAAUGCCAACAUGGACAUCCAGUACAUUCUUGAUGAGUAUGCUCUCCUCAUGUACAUGCUCAGCUACAUAACCAAGCCAGAACAUGAGAUGAGUGAAUAUCUCGGAAAAAUAAUCAGUGACCUAGGCCCAGAAAGUGUGCCUGAACGAGAGGAAAUGAAACAAAUCCUUCAAGCCUACUCAAAACACAGAGAAGUCAGCGCUCAGGAAGCUGUGGCGCGUACGUGCAGCCUGAAAAUGAAGAUGUGCUCACGUGAUGUUG